GACGAACGCUGGCGGCGUGCUUAACACAUGCAAGUCGAACGGAAAGGCCCUGCUUUUGUGGGGUGCUCGAGUGGCGAACGGGUGAGUAACACGUGAGUAACCUGCCCUUGACUUUGGGAUAACGUCAGGAAACUGGGGCUAAUACCGGAUAGGAGCUCCUGCUGCAUGGUGGGGGUUGGAAAGUUUCGGCGGGUGGGGAUGGACUCGCGGCUUAUCAGCUUGUUGGUGGGGUAGUGGCUUACCAAGGCUUUGACGGGUAGCCGGCCUGAGAGGGUGACCGGCCACAUUGGGACUGAGAUACGGCCCAGACUCCUACGGGAGGCAGCAGUGGGGAAUAUUGCACAAUGGGCGGAAGCCUGAUGCAGCAACGCCGCGUGCGGGAUGACGGCCUUCGGGUUGUAAACCGCUUUCGCCUGUGACGAAGCGUGAGUGACGGUAAUGGGUAAAGAAGCACCGGCUAACUACGUG
rnacentral:rRNA from 1 species